UCGAGUUCCGACUUCUUAGACCCUUCUCAUUCUUUUCAGUUAGUCUAUCAAAUCCUCAUCAGUUAGUCUCGAUUCAUUUUUCUCUUCCUUUUCCUAUCUCUUCGUUUUCCCGUUUUUAAUUGAAACUGAAUAGGGGUUUAGGGGUAGUUUGAAAUCCGAAAUCGUCCAAUGUAAAAAUGAUUGAAGAAAAAUUGUUGUCAUCAGCAAACCCAACUUUCUUCGUGAAGGAAGAAAAAUCGCUUAAUGCGCAUAAAUUUGGUGAAAUAAAUGAUUUCCAGUUGAAAAAAUGAUUGCAGAAUUUUUCUUAACAAGGGGAGUUCAAAUAUUAGGAUAACAACAAGAUCAUUGAAGAACAGACAUGGCAUAAAGUGGCUUCAAUCACCAGUGAGAUAGUGCGUGCUCUGAUAUGACAUACCUUCAAAAAUAAGUACCAAUAUGUUUUCUUUUAAAUUGGAUUACGUGCAGUAUGAGUAAAUUUGUGAAUCCAAUUACAAUUACAUAUAGGUUACUGUACUGUAUUUGAGUAUCUAUCUUUGAGUUUACAUAGAAUUAAUUUGCUUUGUUUUUGAUCUGCUGGAUCCAUUUCCAGUUGGUGUUAAAAGGUUCUGGAGUACUAAGCAUUUUUCUUAUAUAUAUAAGCAAUUGUCCAGAAAUUUGAUGCAGUGGAAAAGAUGGGAUCAAAUAGAUAUAUGCAAGGGGGUAACAACAUUCUUCAUUGCACUCUAUUGGAGUAUGGACCACACUGCGGUUGUCGACUCUAAUUCGAUUUGUCGUCCUUAACCCCGCUCAAUAAUGUGCAGCUCAUCAUCUUCCGCUUCACCACCAAUCACUUUUGUCCUCUAUAUGCUUAAUUUAAUGUUACAUCUCACCGCCCAGUCACUUUCUUCCUUAUUGAAUGAUAGACUGAUAAACAUGACGGCUCCAGUUCCAGAGCAACCACUUUUUAUUGUUCUUGCCCAGUCUCCAUGGUGUUCGCAAGGCAAGUUCAGACUGAAGGCAGGUCGAGGAGUAGAUCAACGUGAAAAAUCACAUGUUGAGGUAGAAUAUUGUAAUACAUUUGCUUCUUUCCUUUAAGAUGCGGUCUUAAUCUAAAGAUGUUGCAUAGGUAUCAUAAAAAUCCAGCAAAAUUAAGAGUUGUUAUCCUUACCAGCUAUCAUCCUUUUGCAUUGUAGAGGUAAGAUUUGAUUCUGACAUCAUAUGCUGUUGUAGAUUAUUUUAUUUUUUUGUACAGAUUGAUACAGUUAUUUGAAUACUUAUCGUUCUACUCUUGCAAUGUCUACCAAAACAUGACAUACUCACUUUUUCAAAAUUCUUAGGUGGCAAACCUCUGACGAGCAUUAAAAGUUUUUCGCUUACUCAAUUCAUCUACAGACAUCAUUAUCCAUCUUCUUUGUCACGAAAAACAAGAUAACACCACAUAUGCACUACUGAAAAAUAAGUCGUGUAUUACACAACGUUCGGUUCAUGUGUAAAGAUUUCGUCUCAACCCUUCCAGCACGUGUUUACAAACUAGGAACACUUGACAUGCAUUUUUGUUCUUCAUUUAAAUUUUAAUCUAUUUACAUGUCAAGAAUUUGGGUUCGUAAGCUUAUUGGUCUGUUGUUUCUUCUUAUCCUGUUCUUGAUUACUUGUGUGUAACUUUGAUUCAUAUAGUCUGCUCAAUUAUUAUUUUGGUUAAAGCGUUACACAUUAUUUGUUUUAAAGCUCUUUUGAUAUCUUAAAGUUUGGCCGGCUACUAUAUAAACCUUUCUCGAUUUGUCUUUCACUCCCACCGUUGCAUCUACUCGGGUAAUCGACUCCUCUGUUUACAAUUUAAGCAUCUGUAGUUGGUUUUAUCUCGGUCGUUCACAUAGUUCCAGGUAUAUCUAGGGCCUAUCAAUCAUAGCCUUGACAUUUUUACUCUGCUAAGCAUACAAUGUGGUAUUUAUCCGAUUUUCCAUGCUUACGCAGAUGCUUCAAAUGGGUUUCAGAUUCACUGCAAUCCCUCCAAAAGGCUUCCACAUCUCCAGGAACCACCUACAAGACCUUGGACCAGCUCCCGAAUUGGUGAACAGUACCCAUGGCAGGUUCAAGUCAUAUCUAGAAAAUGCAAUGAAGCGGAUUUCUUGGGAAAGACGAUAUUACCAUCUUGGAUAAUCCAUUUCUCGACGAAAACACGAGUUUUUCCUCAAUAUUAUUAUUAAAAUUUGGUUGCACCAUUUAUUUACAUUCCUGAAAUAAAGUAACAAUCGAUUUUCCAUGGGGAGGAAAUUGAAGCCCCACUAAGCAUCAGUGUGGUCAAGUUACCUAACACAGACGCACCACCUGAUUUUAGGAACAGUAAGUGUAAAAAUGCCUCUCAUUCUGAUGAUGAUCAAGAUCAACGCGAACUAAAAAAAUUACUCUCCUGCAAAAAAUUGGUAAUGAAACGUCCGACUAUAUCUUUGGUGAAGUAUGAUUGCUGUAUAGUAUAGUGAUGCGCCCUUGGUGAUACAGCAACCGAGCUACAGACGUGAACUGCUAGAAGCCUAGAACUUUGAAGCAGGAUUCUAUAUAGCAUUCAUAUCUGUUUAUUUGAAUCUAGCUCGACCUUUUUAACAAUUUAUCUAUUAUUGGAUUUAUGCUUUAAUUUCUAUCAAGAUUUUUCAAUAUUCUGUUCAGAUGUGUGUUCAAAUUCAAGUAACCUUUUACUGCAUCUAGCUUUUGUUUUCCCAUAUAUAUAUAGUUGCUUUGGUGAUUUUCACGUUUGUAUUCUUUCAAUCAAUUGGUUAAUACCCUGUAAUUGAAGUUGGAAAUUGGUGUCAAUAUUGAGAUGCAAGAACUGCAGGUGGUGUUGUGGUUCCUUCUGGUGGUAAUGAAUUUGAGGUGUUGAAGCUGCAGAUGUUGUUGUUGCUGUUUGAAGUGUGAAUUGAAUUAAAUGGGAUGUUUACUGCUGCAAGGAGCUGAACUGGGUGUGUUCAAGGGUUACAAAGGUGAAAUUGCAAGGAUGAUGUCGUGUGUUGUUUGCAGUUGGAACUGAGCUGAAGUUGCAGUUGAAGAUGAUGUUGCAGGUUAGAUGGCUUGAGCUGUGAAUGGAUCUAAGGUGUUGCUUGCAGUAUUAGAGAGAAGUUGGAGUUGAAAUGUUUGAGUUACUGCUGGAGAAUUGAGGAGAGUAUUGAUAUGCAGAUGCUCUGGUAAUGGGUAUUGCAGCUGGAGUUGGAACAACUGCAGGUAUUGCUUUUUAGGCUUGGGACGGCCUGUUCUUCAGUCUCUGCUUUUGAUUUCAGCCUGCUAAGCAACGCAGUCCUGUAGUUUUAGCUUGGCAGGUGUUGUUAUGGGGCUGUUUUUGUUUUGCGUCUGUAAUUCUUUUGGCAGAAUCAUGUUGAUGUGAUCUGAUUUCUGUAAUUUUUUUUCUGUUGGCCAGUCCAAAUAUUUUUUUUUUCCUUCUUAAUAUAACGAUUUUUUUUUGGUUAA